rnacentral:rRNA from 1 species
AAGGAUCAUUAAUGAAUUCACUAUGGAGUUGUUGCUGGCCUCUAGGGGCAUGUGCACGCUUCACUAGUCUUUCAACCACCUGUGAACUUUUGAUAGAUCUGUGAAGUCGUCUCUCAAGUCGUUAGACUUGGUUUGCUGGGAUGUAAACGUCUCGGUGUGACUACGCAGUCUAUUUACUUAUAACACCCCAAAUGUAUGUCUACGAAUGUCAUUUAAAGGGCCUUGUGCCUAUAAACCAUAAUACAACUUUCAACAACGGAUCUCUUGGCUCUCGCAUCGAUGAAGAACGCGGCGAAAUGCGAUAAGUAAUGUGAAUUGCAGAAUUCAGUGAAUCAUCGAAUCUUUGAACGCACCUUGCGCCCCUUGGUAUUCCGAGGGGCAUGCCUGUUUGAGUGUCAUUAAAUUCUCAAACUCACUCUGGUUUUUUCCAAUUGUGAUGUUUGGAUUGUUGGGGGCUGCUGGCCUUGACAGGUCGGCUCCUCUUAAAUGCAUUAGCAGGACUUCUCAUUGCCUCUGCGCAUGAUGUGAUAAUUAUCACUCAUCAAUAGCACGCAUGAAUAGAGUCUGGCUCUCUAACCGUCCGCAAGGACAAUUUGACAAUUUGACCUCAAAUCAGGUAGGACUACCCGCUGAACUUAA